rnacentral:rRNA from 1 species
AAGCCUGCGGCGUGCCUAAUACAUGCAAGUCGAACGAGUUCUGAUUAUUGAAAGGUGCUUGCAUCUUGAUUUAAUUUUGAACGAGUGGCGGACGGGUGAGUAACACGUGGGUAACCUGCCCUUAAGUGGGGGAUAACAUUUGGAAACAGAUGCUAAUACCGCAUAAAUCCAAGAACCGCAUGGUUCUUGGCUGAAAGAUGGCGUAAGCUAUCGCUUUUGGAUGGACCCGCGGCGUAUUAGCUAGUUGGUGAGGUAACGGCUCACCAAGGCAAUGAUACGUAGCCGAACUGAGAGGUUGAUCGGCCACAUUGGGACUGAGACACGGCCCAAACUCCUACGGGAGGCAGCAGUAGGGAAUCUUCCACAAUGGACGCAAGUCUGAUGGAGCAACGCCGCGUGAGUGAAGAAGGCUUUCGGGUCGUAAAACUCUGUUGUUGGAGAAGAAUGGUCGGCAGAGUAACUGUUGUCGGCGUGACGGUAUCCAACCAGAAAGCCACGGCUAACUACGUGCCAGCAGCCGCGGUAAUACGUAGGUGGCAAGCGUUAUCCGGAUUUAUUGGGCGUAAAGCGAGCGCAGGCGGUUUUUUAAGUCUGAUGUGAAAGCCCUCGGCUUAACCGAGGAAGUGCAUCGGAAACUGGGAAACUUGAGUGCAGAAGAGGACAGUGGAACUCCAUGUGUAGCGGUGAAAUGCGUAGAUAUAUGGAAGAACACCAGUGGCGAAGGCGGCUGUCUGGUCUGUAACUGACGCUGAGGCUCGAAAGCAUGGGUAGCGAACAGGAUUAGAUACCCUGGUAGUCCAUGCCGUAAACGAUGAAUGCUAGGUGUUGGAGGGUUUCCGCCCUUCAGUGCCGCAGCUAACGCAUUAAGCAUUCCGCCUGGGGAGUACGACCGCAAGGUUGAAACUCAAAGGAAUUGACGGGGGCCCGCACAAGCGGUGGAGCAUGUGGUUUAAUUCGAAGCAACGCGAAGAACCUUACCAGGUCUUGACAUCUUUUGAUCACCUGAGAGAUCAGGUUUCCCCUUCGGGGGCAAAAUGACAGGUGGUGCAUGGUUGUCGUCAGCUCGUGUCGUGAGAUGUUGGGUUAAGUCCCGCAACGAGCGCAACCCUUAUGACUAGUUGCCAGCAUUUAGUUGGGCACUCUAGUAAGACUGCCGGUGACAAACCGGAGGAAGGUGGGGAUGACGUCAAAUCAUCAUGCCCCUUAUGACCUGGGCUACACACGUGCUACAAUGGAUGGUACAACGAGUUGCGAGACCGCGAGGUCAAGCUAAUCUCUUAAAGCCAUUCUCAGUUCGGACUGUAGGCUGCAACUCGCCUACACGAAGUCGGAAUCGCUAGUAAUCGCGGAUCAGCACGCCGCGGUGAAUACGUUCCCGGGCCUUGUACACACCGCCCGUCACACCAUGAGAGUUUGUAACACCCGAAGCCGGUGGCGUAACCCUUUUAGGGAGCGAGC